UUAUGGUCAUAACACGUCGAAACACUGGUUCACGUACGAUCACCGAAGUUAAGCAACGUCGAGCCUGGUCAGUACCUUAAAGCGUUAUCUCUUCGGAAUACUUGGUGCUGUAAU